rnacentral:rRNA from 1 species
UACGAAGGGGGCUAGCGUUGCUCGGAAUGACUGGGCGUAAAGGGCGCGUAGGCGGCACUGUUAGUCAGGCGUGAAAUUCCUGGGCUCAACCUGGGGACUGCGCUUGAUACGGCAGAGCUAGAGGAUGGAAGAGGCUCGCGGAAUUCCCAGUGUAGAGGUGAAAUUCGUAGAUAUUGGGAAGAACACCGGUGGCGAAGGCGGCGAGCUGGUCCAUUACUGACGCUGAGGCGCGACAGCGUGGGGAGCAAACAGG